rnacentral:rRNA from 1 species
AUUGAACGCUGGCGGCAGGCCUAACACAUGCAAGUCGAACGAGUGGCGGACGGGUGAGUAAUGUCUGGGAAACUGCCCGAUGGAGGGGGAUAACUACUGGAAACGGUAGCUAAUACCGCAUACCCUCGGAUGUGCCCAGAUGGGCUUAGCUAGUAGGUGGGGUAACGGCUCACCUAGGCGCCGAUCCCUAGCUGGGCUGAGAGGAUGACCAGCCACACUGGAACGGAGACACGGUCCAGACGCCUAAGGGAGGCAGCAGUGGGGAAUAUUGCACAAUGGGCGCAAGCCUGAUGCAGCCAUGCCGCGUGUAUGAAGAAGGCCUUCGGGUUGUAAAGUACUUUCAGCGAGGAGGCGUUACUCGCAGAAGAAGCACCGGCUAACUCCGGGCCAGCCGCCGCGGUAAUAC